CAGCUUCCCGCCUCGCCACGCCCCACGCCAGGAGAGGUUCUGGUGAAGCUACCGUGAGGCCUGAUUCCUGUGAGACUUUGUCACGUCCCAAAGCGCUCGCCACGGACACCGAGAGGCCUGGCCUUACUGUAAAGAGCUUGGCGAAACCUCUUUGGUUAGAACAGCAGGCUCCUGCUGGUUAUGGCGACGUACCUCAAGUGGCCUCGGCGCGCACUGGCUCCGGAAUCCGGGCGACGGGCAGUUAUUUUUUUCCUCUCUCGUUCCUGAAUGUUCCAGGGACAAGGACCAAGGGGGCCGGGAGAAGGAGCAGGGGGACUGCUUUCCUACCAGAAACACAUUUGCAAUCAUCCUAGAAGAAGAAAAUCGGACAUGGUGGGGUUCCAGGAGAGAAUGACACCUUGGUUCUCACAUGUGGAGACUGAGGAAACAAAAUGAUGGAUGGAUAGGUGUUUGGACACCACGGACAUGAAGUCAGAAGAUCUGAGUUGUUGUUUGGAUCAGUACAACCACCUUGCAAAUCAAGCCAUGGCUGCUCUUGGAGAUACGCUGACCCCUGUACCAGGAAGUUCAGCCAGGCCAAUUCUUCCAGGCUCAGUGACAGUGACAUGCCCACACCAGCCUGUCCACACCUCUUCCUCAGCCAGAAGCCACAGGACAUGGAGGAGUAUUGCGGAUUCCAGUGUGGGUCGUCAUAGAACAAAUGCUUCCUGAAGUCCAGGGUUCCUAUAAAUGUCACAGGAUGAGCCGAAGGUUAUGGACAAACUUAAUGGAACAGAAUGGGAUGAAAAUAGACUAACUGGGCAGCUGGCUUCAGAAUUUUUCCUGCUUUGAUGAGCUGUUCUGAUGUGAAGAGAUGAGCAGGAAAGUUUGGCCCCAGGUAAGUUAUGGAAAGAAAAGAUAGAACAGGUAGAGAGUUGAAUUGCUCUGUAUAAAAAAAUGAAAGUAAAAUACUUCUUGCUAGAGGGGUAGGAGGAAG
rnacentral:lncRNA from 9 species